CGAGUCUUAACUGGGCGAAUGAGUUGCAGGGUAUAGACCCGAAACCCGGUGAUCUAUCCAUGGGCAGGUUGAAGGUUGGGUAACACUAACUGGAGGACCGAACCGACUAAUGUUGAAAAAUUAGCGGAUGACUUGUGGAUGGGGGUGAAAGGCCAAUCAAACCGGGAGAUAGCUGGUUCUCCCCGAAAGCUAUUUAGGUAGCGCCUCGUGAACUCAUCUUCGGGGGUAGAGCACUGUUUCGACUAGGGGGUCAUCCCGACUUACCAACUCGAUGCAAACUGCGAAUACCGAAGAAUGUUAUCACGGGAGACACACGGCGGGUGCUAACGUCCGUCGUGAAGAGGGAAACAACCCAGACCGCCAGCUAAGGUCCCAAAGUCAUGGUUAAGUGGGAAACGAAGUGGGAAGGCUCAGACAGCCAGGAUGUUGGCUUAGAAGCAGCCAUCAUUUAAAGAAAGCGUAAUAGCUCACUGGUCGAGUCGGCCCGCGCGGAAGAUGUAACGGGGCUAAACCAUGCACCGAAGCUGCGGCAGCGACACAAAGUGUUGUUGGGUAGGGGAGCGUUCUGUAAGCCUGCGAAGGUGUACUGUGAGGUAUGCUGGAGGUAUCAGAAGUGCGAAUGCUGACAUAAGUAACGAUAAUGCGGGUGAAAAACCCGCACGCCGGAAGACCAAGGGUUCCUGUCCAACGUUAAUCGGGGCAGGGUGAGUCGACCCCUAAGGCGAGGCUGAAAAGCGUAGUCGAUGGGAAACGGGUUAAUAUUCCCGUACUGG
rnacentral:rRNA from 1 species